AACGUACGCUGGCGGCACGCCUAACACAUGCAAGUCGAACGAAGUAGCAAUACUUAGUGGCAGACGGGUGAGUAACAUGUAGGUAUCUGCCCUUUGGCCUGGAAUAACACGAGGAAACUUGUGCUAAUACCGGAUAAGUCUUUACGGAGAAAGCUUUAUGCACCAUUGGAUGAGCCUGCACUUGAUUAGUUUGUUGGUGGGGUAAUGGCCUACCAAGACUGUGAUCAAUAGCUGAUUUGAGAGGAUGAUCAGCCACAUUGGGACUGAGACACGGCCCAAACUCCUACGGGAGGCAGCAGUGGGGAAUCUUGCACAAUGGAGGAAACUCUGAUGCAGCGAUGCCGCGUGAGUGAAGAAGGCCCUUGGGUUGUAAAGCUCUUUCGUCGGGGAAGAAAAUGACUGUACCCGAAUAAGAAGGUCCGGCUAACUUCGUGCCAGCAGCCGCGGUAAUACGAAGGGACCUAGCGUAGUUCGGAAUUACUGGGCUUAAAGAGUUCGUAGGUGGUUGAAAAAGUUAGUGGUGAAAUCCCAGAGCUUAACUCUGGAACUGCCAUUAAAACUUUUCAGCUAGAGUAUGAUAGAGGAAAGCAGAAUUUCUAGUGUAGAGGUGAAAUUCGUAGAUAUUAGAAAGAAUACCAAUUGCGAAGGCAGCUUUCUGGAUCAUUACUGACACUGAGGAACGAAAGCAUGGGUAGCGAAGAGGAUUAGAUACCCUCGUAGUCCAUGCCGUAAACGAUGUGUGUUAGACGUUGGAAAUUUAUUUUCAGUGUCGCAGGGAAACCGAUAAACACACCGCCUGGGGAGUACGACCGCAAGGUUAAAACUCAAAUGAAUUGACGGGGACCCGCACAAGUAGUGGAGCAUGUGGUUUAAUUCGAAGAUACGCGCAGAACCUUACCAACACUUGACAUGUUCGUCGCGACUCUAAGAGAUUAGAGUUUUCGGUUCGGCCGGACGAAACACAGGUGCUGCAUGGCUGUCGUCAGCUCGUGUCGUGAGAUGUUGGGUUAAGUCCCGCAGCGAGCGCAACCCUCACUUUUAGUUGCCAUCAUUAAGUUGGGCACUCUGAAAGAACUGCCAGUGAUAAGCUGGAGGAAGGUGGGGAUGACGUCAAGUCCUCAUGGCCCUUACGUGUUGGGCUACACACGUGCUACAAUGGUAUCUACAACAGGAAGCAAGACUGCGAAGUUAAGCAAAUCCCUAAAAGAUACCUCAGUUCGGAUUGCACUCUGCAACUCGAGUGCAUGAAGCUGGAAUUACUAGUAAUCGUGGAUCAGCGUGCCACGGUGAAUGCGUUCCCGGGUCU
rnacentral:rRNA from 1 species